UCGUACAAACGGUUAAGCCCCAUUUAGUCCACAUCCCAUGAGAGAGAACGGGGGGCUACUCCAUGCACUCAGUGUGGGGGUGAGAAGACUCAGGAAGGGAGAGGAGAUGAGCUGAGGAGAAAAAAUAGAAGAUUUCUAGGAAGAAAACGGGGCAGGUCUUAUCUUGGUACAUCACAGGGAUCUUGUUACAAUGGCAUUACAACAAGGAAAAGUGAAUCUCCUUUUGGGUAGAAUUGCCCAUUGCCCAUUCUGCCCUGUUCUUCCUUUGCUAAGGGGGAGGUCAGAGCCUCUCUCUCAGUCCAGGCAGGACAGUGUGGCUGUGACCCAGCUAAUGUCAACACCAGAACGAUGAUUCAGUUUGAACUAGUGCCCCAGGUGCCGAUCGGCUACCGAUCGGCUAACCUCCAGGCUCUGACGUCCCCUCUGGGGUCCUGCUGCUCCCUACCAAGUCCAGCUUAAGGCUGGCGUGGCUCUGAGACUGUGAGAAAGGCCUGGGCUGGGGUGAUCAUAUCAAGAGGGGCCUGGAGCCGCAUUUUCUGUCCGCCAAUAAAAAAUGUUCCUCCAUUUUUUUAAAGGUGGCUGGUAUGAGUAAGAACAGGCAGGAGGGAAACCUUCUGUGUCAAGGACUGUCUCUUCAAGGAAUGGCCCUCAGGCUGGGGGGUGGCGGGGGGGGGGGGCGCUCUGUGCUGCUAGCUGGCACCUCAUUUGCCACCCCCUCCCCCGGGCAGCCUCUUGCUUUCAUUUUCCCUGAAUGUACGUAGGAACAGGGGAGGGAAGUCUCUUACUGAAGUGCCUGAAACCCAGAGCUGGAGCUUCUAGAGACGCCGUUCUUCCGGUCUCAGCUUGGCCUACCUUUCCCCGAGGUUCUCUGGUCUCAUGCUCCAGCUUCUCACAAAGAAUAAAAGAACUUGCUGUUCUAAUGAAGGAGAAAGCGAGACCCAGUAAUCAAUCUACAGCAAAAGGCAGAGAAUUACAGGGAAAAACAACUUGUAUCUUAACAGCCCAAAUCUAUUCUCCCAAACUACACACACACACACACACACACAUACACGUUAGGGGACUAAGAGAAGCAUGUUAUAUUUUAUUUGUCAAAAAUCCAUCAGUGGAGUAUGAAAAGCUCAGGCUCUCUCCCACGGCUACUGCGGGAAGGCCAACAGAGGAGGUGGAAAGGGCAGAGCUCAUCCAGUUAGGACACCUUAGGAAUAGCCUUGUGGUAAAGAAGAUGAAGAUGCUUGGUUGACUUCAUCCAAUCUGCACCUUCCUAUGGCUGCUCAGUAAACUCAACGCGUGGUUUCUCAGCUGUGUGCGUUGGGAGUGUCCUAUUAAUCUGUGCCCGUUCGUUAGGACUGAGUUCCACACGUUCCCUCCUCAGUCCCAGGGCCCAGAACGCAGCUGUAUCCAGGAGGUCUCAAGGAUUGACAUGGGGAGGGGGAAGUUUUUUGUUUUGUUUUUUUUUUAGUCACUUUUUGGUCAGUGAUUUGGCCAUUUUAAGAGCAAGAUUUGCUUUAUGGAAACCAAUUCAUUCACAAAACCUACACUCGAGUUGCAACACCAUUUCACAGUGAAAUAUUUUGAGUGAAAUUUUGUUGCUUAGAAUAGUCACAGACAAAAGUUUUAUCAGCAAUAUGUUUCCAUUAUGUUAAUAAACAAGACAAUGCUACUGGAGUCCCUUGUCUUGGUCUAGAAUCUUCUCUGUGGGUUGCAGUAUAUAUCACUUUUUCUUCAUAGUCCUACUUGACAGGUGACAAUAGCUGUAAAAAUGUUCUUGGAGAUUUUCUGCCUGGUUUAGCUGAUGCCACAUGUGUAAUAUGAAAGUAUUUACAAACACACCCAAGGGGCAGAAGCAGGGAAGAGUUAAUUAGCAAUUUUGUGAACUGUGCCUAAGUUUUCUCAGCUAAAAAAAAUAAAAUAAAUUUUAGAUUCUAUCUAAAUCUGCAUAGUCUGGUAUUGGUUAGCUUUAACUCCUUAAUGAAGUUAGUUCUUUAUGAAAUAAAAAUUUCUAAAAAUUACAAACUUGAAUAACUUUUUGGCAUAGGAGAUCUUAAGAGAGAAGUUGCUAAACUCGCACAUUGUCUUGGCAAUGUAAAAAAGCAAUAAAUGAAUAAGUUUUUAAUUGCCCAA